ACGGAAGGCAGCAGUGGGGAAUAUUGCACAAUGGGCGAAAGCCUGAUGCAGCGACGCCGCGUGAGUGAAGAAGUAUUUCGGUAUGUAAAGCUCUAUCAGCAGGGAAGAAAAAUGACGGUACCUGACUAAGAAGCACCGGCUAAAUACGUGCCAGCAGCCGCGGUAAUACGUAUGGUGCAAGCGUUAUCCGGAUUUACUGGGUGUAAAGGGAGCGCAGGCGGUACGGCAAGUCUGAUGUGAAAGCCCGGGGCUCAACCCCGGUACUGCAUUGGAAACUGUCGAACUAGAGUGUCGGAGGGGUAAGCGGAAUUCCUAGUGUAGCGGUGAAAUGCGCAGAUAUUAGGAGGAACACCAGUGGCGAAGGCGGCUUACUGGACGAUAACUGACGCUGAGGCUCGAAAGCGUGGGGAGCAAACAGGAUUAGAUACCCUGGUA
rnacentral:rRNA from 1 species